rnacentral:rRNA from 1 species
UACGGAGGGUGCGAGCGUUGUCCGGAAUCACUGGGCGUAAAGGGCGCGUAGGCGGCGCGGGCAGUCAACGGUGAAAGCUCGGAGCUCAACUCCGAGUCGGCCGUCGAUACUCCCGUGCUUGAGCACUGUAGAGGCAGGUGGAAUUCCGGGUGUAGCGGUGGAAUGCGUAGAGAUCCGGAAGAACACCGGUGGCGAAGGCGGCCUGCUGGGCAGUAGCUGACGCUGAGGCGCGACAGCGUGGGGAGCGAACGGG